ensembl:lncRNA
UAGGGUGGAGAGGAGAGAUAUGGACACAACCAGGACAGGGGAUAGGGUGGAGAGGAGAGAUAUGGACACAACCAGGACAGGGGAUAGGGAGGAUAGUAGAGGAGAGAUAUGUACACAACCAGGACAGGGUUUAGGGAGGAGAGGAGAGAUAUGGUCACAACCAGGACAGGGGAGAGGAGAAGAGAUAUGGACACAACCAGGACAGGGGAUAGGGAGGAUAGGAGAGAUAUGGACACAACCAGGACAGGGGAUAGGGAGGAUAGUAGAGGAGAGAUAUGUACACAACCAGGACAGGGUUUAGGGUGGAGAGGAGAGAUAUGGUCACAACCAGGACAGGGGUUAGGGAGGAGAGAUAUGUACACAACCAGGACAGGGGUUAGGGAGGAGAGGAGAGAUAUGGACACAACCAGGACAUGGGAUAGAGAGGAGAGGAGAGGAGAAAUAUGGACACAACCAUGACAGGGGAUAGGGAGGAGUGGAGAG